CCCAUCAGCUUGGAGGAGUGCUGUUGGCCCCCUGGGUCCCCACACUAAAAGGUGGUGUUAGAGCCAGAGGAAAAGUCAGGUCUUGUGGCUCCUGUUUAUUUCUGCUGCCCCAGAACUUGCCCUCUCCCCUUCUACACUAGACUUGAGUCAUGCUGAAACACUGGGAGUUCUUGAACAGGUCUGCUCUUUUCUUUCCCUAGAUAUUUCACAAAAUGUCCCUUAUCUUCCCCUCUUUCCUUCUGGCUAACUUCCCCUUGGCUGACUCUUCCAUCCAACUGACUCCUGAGUCUUCGAAAACUGUUAGGUCUUCUCCCUACAGAAUGUCACGACUGGCAGGAGGAGCAAAUAAAACAAUCAUAGGGACGAAAUAACACAUUCAGGAAACCUUCCAAUUCCUUGCCUCUUAAGUCCCUUUUUUAAUGUGGUGCUUGGAAACACUAAUGACCUCUUAUUUUAUUCUUGAAAAAGUUGACUCAUGUCUCUCUGAAACCAAAACAAGAAUCUAGGCCUAAAAGUAAUGAGUCUAUACUAGUAGGACUUUUAUGUGCUCCAUAUGUAAGCUAGUUACAGAAAAGGAGGAAGUGAUUCUCACUGGAAAGGCCAAUAUAGGACAUUUUUUUCCAAAGAUACCUAGGAUGUAAACAGAAGUAUACAAAACCUUGCUUUUAAGAUAGUGUGCAGUCUAGCAGUGGGAUAUGGCACUUAUAUUUAUUUUCUAUUACUGGGUAACAAAUUAGCCGCAAAUUUAACAGCUUAAAACAUCACCCAUUUGUCAGCUCCCAGUUCCGCAAUUCAGCAGUCUGGGCUGGGCUCAGUAGUUUUCUGCUCAGAGUCUCACACUCAAGGUGUGGGCUGAGCUGAGCUCUUAUCUGGAGGCUGGGAGUCCCCUUCCCAGCUCACUCAGGUCCAGGCUGUUGUAGGGCCAAAGUCCGUUUUCUUGCUGGCUGCCAGGGACUGUUCUCAGCUUGCAGAGGCCACUCUCAGGUCCUCGCCAUGUGCCAUCCUCCAUCUUCAAAGCCAGCACCAGAGAAUCCCCCUUGGGUCAAAUCCUUCUCAGCUUUCAAAUCUCUUUCAUCAGUAAAAGCCAUUUUAUGGUCUCCCUGAUGAGGUUAGAUUAGGUCAACUGUGACAUAGGAUAUGACCUAAGCAUGGAAACGAUAUCCCACCAUAUUCACAGGUCCUUCCCACACUCAAAGGAAGUGGGAUGUGGGUCAUUUUAGCAUUCUGCCUACCUCAGUACUCAAUGGAUAAGGCAGAAUAAGAUCAAUUAAAAAGAUAUAAAAUGUUUCAGAGUAGUGGAGAGAGAAACUUACUGUAUGUGCUUAGCAUAUGGGAGAUGUUCAAUCAGUAUUUGUUAAUAUGUGGGAAAUAUAUAUAUUCUGAGAGCACAAUAAUGUAUUGAACUGUUUUAAUCAGAAUAAACUAAAUUAGUCAAAUAAGAAAAUACUUUUGACUCACAAUUUGGGUAGUUUGAUCGUCAAGUUUCUGGGUAGGGGGACUUGAACUCCAGAAGGCAGCAUCAAGGGAGGACUGGGGUAGGUAAAGAUGCUUCAUACAUCUAGGGGUUUUGAGCCAUUCUUGGGGGAGGAGCAAGAAGAUCUGAAUUACGGGGAAAGUCCAGGCAGGAACCACAGUAGGUAGCU
rnacentral:lncRNA from 1 species